rnacentral:rRNA from 1 species
AGCGGCCGCGGUAAUUCCAGCUCCAAUAGCGUAUAUUAAAGUUGUUGCAGUUAAAAGCUCGUAGUUGAAUUUCGGGGUUCUACCGUUGGUCGGGCAAUAGUCUGUACUGGCGUGUGGAAUUUCUACCUUCUGGGGAACUAUCAUGUUAUUUAUUUAGCGUGGUAGGAAACCAGGACCUUUACCUUGAAAAAUUAGAGUGUUCAAAGCAAGGCUUACGUCUGAAUACAUUAGCAUGGAAUAAUAAAAUAGGACGGUGGUCCUGUUUUGUUGGUUUCUGAAUCACCGUAAUGAUUAAUAGGGAUAGUUGGGGCAUUAGUAUUCAAUUGUCAGAGGU